UUAAAAUAAUUAUGAGUUAUUAUUUAGACAAUAUUGUAAGUUUUAUCUGAGAUAAAUGAAAGGUGGUUUAAAGAUGUCUAACAGUGGGCAACAUACAUUUCAUAACAAUGAAAUAAGUGUGAAGUUUCAGAAUAUUUAUUAAGGAUUUAGAAAUUAUAAAAAUAUAUGGAAAUGUCAUAUUUAAUUUAAGGGGUGGUAGAUUAAAUCUUCCUAUCACUCCCUUGAGGAUCUGCGGUGCGGUCGGCCCAAAACAAAUUAAUCACGCAUUCUUUUUUGUGCCAAAGAUACAUGAAUCAAUGUUUUAUGGUUUCGGUUAUGGUUGUUAAGAUGCAUGUAUGUAUUAAUAUUAUGUAUAAAUCACUUCACUGAACUAUGACAUGGAAAACAAUUAUUCUGGACAAUGCUUGACAUGAAACACCGUUUAUGUCUCCUAUAGUACAAAAUAAAAUGAUUGCUCAUGUUAAUUAAUGAAUUAUAAUUUGUUUUUUUGACGUUAUUGAUUUUACUACUCCAAGUGAUGAUAUAUUUAUGUGGAAUCCACAUAGCAUAAAAGUUAAAAUUGGUUUGAGAGGUGUUUGAAAUGAGGCCUCUGAAUAACAUUUGUUUAUAAAAGCACCACGUUGCAUACAAAUCUCACACCAUUUCUGACCUGAGAGACUCAGACGGGGUUCAGUAUGCACAUGUCUGCUCUGGAUCUUGUUUUCUUGUACCUCCACUAUGCCCCUUAUAGCAUGAUUGUGUUUUGUCCAUUUUGCCAAAAAUAUGAAGGUCUAAUCUGUAUAGCGUAUUAUAUUUGAAUAUGUCUAGACAAUGAUAUCAAUUUUGUUGACAUCACUAUAUAUUCAUAUAAGUAUGAUCGAUUAACUUAUAGGUUGCUUAUGAAUAAAUAAUUGUUAGAUUUAUAAAUGAGUAUAUAUGAUUUUAUGGUUUUUC
rnacentral:lncRNA from 1 species